UUCCGGUUGAUCCUGCCGGACCCGACUGCUAUCAGAAUAGGACUAAGCCAUGCGAGUCAACGUAGUAAUACGUGGCAUACGGCUCAGUAACACGUAGUCAACAUGCCCAGAGGACGUGGAUAACCUCGGGAAACUGAGGAUAAACCGCGAUAGGUCAUAAUAUCUGGAAUGAUUUAUGGCUUAAAUCUAUAUGGCCUCUGGAUUGGACUGCGGCCGAUCAGGCUGUUGGUGAGGUAAUGGCCCACCAAACCUAAAACCGGUACGGGCUCUGAGAGGAGAAGCCCGGAGAUGGGCACUGAGACAAGGGCCCAGGCCCUAUGGGGCGCAGCAGGCGCGAAAACUCUGCAAUAAGCGAAAGCUUGACAGGGUUAUUCUGAGUGAUUUCCGCUAAGGAAAUCUUUUGGCACCUCUAAAAAUGGUGCAGAAUAAGGGGUGGGCAAGCCUGGUGUCAGCCGCCGCGGUAAUACCAGCACCCCGAGUGGUCGGGACGAUUAUUGGGCCUAAAGCAUCCGUAGCCGGUUCUACAAGUCUUCCGUUAAAUCCACCUGCUUAACAGAUGGGCUGCGGAGGAUACUAUAGAGCUAGGAGGCGGGAGAGGCAAGCGGUACUUAGUGGGUAGGGGUAAAAUCCGUUGAUCCAUUGAAGACCACCAGUGGCGAAGGCGGCUUGCCAGAACGCACUCGACGGUGAGGGAUGAAAGCUGGGGGAGCAAACCGGAUUAGAUACCCGGGUAGUCCCAGCUGUAAACGAUGCAGACUCGGUGAUGAAUAGGCUUCGUGCCUAUUCAGUGCCGCAGGGAAGCCGUUAAGUCUGCCGCCUGGGGAGUACGGUCGCAAGACUGAAACUUAAAGGAAUUGGCGGGGAGCACCACAGG
rnacentral:rRNA from 1 species